UACGGAGGAUGCGAGCGUUAUCCGGAUUUAUUGGGUUUAAAGGGUGCGUAGGCGGCCGAGUAAGUCAGCGGUGAAAUUUUGCAGCUUAACUGUAACAGUGCCGUUGAUACUGCAUGGCUAGGAUUUGGUUGCUGUGGGUGGAAUGUGUGGUGUAGCGGUGAAAUGCUUAGAUAUCACACAGAAUAUCAAUUGCGAAGGCAGCUCACAAAGCCAAGAUUGACGCUGAGGCACGAAAGUGCGGGGAUCAAA
rnacentral:rRNA from 1 species